rnacentral:lncRNA from 1 species
AGUCUAGCACAUGCCUGCUGACCUUCGUGGAGCCUGACCAGUGGGGGAAGUGUGAAGGAGACAGACAGGAUUCAGGCUUCUUGGGGCAGGUGUUUCUUCCAUGAGAGAUACGUGGGGAUGAAUUGCUGGGGAAUCCUUUCCAGUUUCCAGGAUACCUCUUCUUAUAUAUGGGGGACUUCCUGACUCUGAAUGUCCAAAUCCUGCAUUAACUUAUAUGCAGAGACCCAUUCCUUCCUCCCUUUGUAUCACCCUGCUUCUUUUGGUGAAAUGAUGUCAGGCACGUCCACAAGUUGGCUGCUGUCCUGUCUUCUCUCACUAGGGUCUCAAGCUACCUGUCUGCUGAGCUGCAUGAAAGCCACGGCUGGUGGGCUGGUGUGCAGAGGACACUGCAGCCGAGGGAGGAGAGGGCAGAGCAUCUAGGAGCACACCGAGUGGCUCCACAGGCAUCACUGUGGAGGCUGGUGGUCUGCAGGAUGCAGGUGCCACCCACUUCUCUGUCUGUCUCCAUCCUCAGGUUCAGUGAAUACCAUGAUCCUGUCUUGCUAACAAAGGGCUCACAGCCAGUGGGGCUGAGGAGACCAGGAGUAGAGUUGGGAAUGGGGAGUUGAGAUUAAAGUCUGAAGGGCUGGCUGAA